GCCGGGCGCGGUGGCUCAAGCCUGUAAUCCCAGCACUUUGGGAGGCCGAGGCGAGUGAAUCACCUGAGGUCAGGAGUUCAAGACCAGCCUGGACAACAUGGUGAAACCCUGUCUCUACUAAAACUACAAAAAAUAUAUAUAUAUAUAUAUUUUAUAUAUAUAUAUAUUUUUUUUGUAGUUUUAGUAGAGACAGGGUUUCACCAUGUUGUCCAGGCUGGUCUUGAACUCCUGACCUCAGGUGAUUCACUCGCCUU
ensembl:misc_RNA Metazoa_SRP Metazoan signal recognition particle RNA